rnacentral:rRNA from 1 species
AAGUCGAACGGAAAGGCCCUGCUUGCAGGGUACUCGAGUGGCGAACGGGUGAGUAACACGUGGGUGAUCUGCCCUGCACUUCGGGAUAAGCCUGGGAAACUGGGUCUAAUACCGGAUAGGAGCCAUUUUUAGUGUGAUGGUUGGAAAGUUUUUUCGGUGUAGGAUGAGCUCGCGGCCUAUCAGCUUGUUGGUGGGGUAAUGGCCUACCAAGGCGGCGACGGGUAGCCGGCCUGAGAGGGUGGACGGCCACAUUGGGACUGAGAUACGGCCCAGACUCCUACGGGAGGCAGCAGUGGGGAAUAUUGCACAAUGGGCGCAAGCCUGAUGCAGCGACGCCGCGUGGGGGAUGACGGCCUUCGGGUUGUAAACUCCUUUCGCUAGGGACGAAGCUUUUUGUGACGGUACCUAGAUAAGAAGCACCGGCUAACUACGUGCCAGCAGCCGCGGUAAUACGUAGGGUGCGAGCGUUGUCCGGAAUUACUGGGCGUAAAGGGCUCGUAGGUGGUUUGUCGCGUCGUCUGUGAAAUUCCGGGGCUUAACUCCGGGCGUGCAGGCGAUACGGGCAUAACUUGAGUACUGUAGGGGCAACUGGAAUUCCUGGUGUAGCGGUGAAAUGCGCAGAUAUCAGGAGGAACACCGAUGGCGAAGGCAGGUUACUGGGCAGUUACUGACGCUGAGGAGCGAAAGCAUGGG